GAUGAACGCUGGCGGCGUGCCUAAUACAUGCAAGUCGAGCGAACGGACGAGAAGCUUGCUUCUCUGAUGUUAGCGGCGGACGGGUGAGUAACACGUGGAUAACCUACCUAUAAGACUGGGAUAACUUCGGGAAACCGGAGCUAAUACCGGAUAAUAUUUUGAACCGCAUGGUUCAAAAGUGAAAGACGGUCUUGCCGUCACUUAUAGAUGGAUCCGCGCUGCAUUAGCUAGUUGGUAAGGUAACGGCUUACCAAGGCAACGAUGCAUAGCCGACCUGAGAGGGUGAUCGGCCACACGGGAACUGAGACACGGUCCAGACUCCUACGGGAGGCAGCAGUAGGGAAUCUUCCGCAAUGGGCGAAAGCCUGACGGAGCAACGCCGCGUGAGUGAUGAAGGUCUUCGGAUCGUAAAACUCUGUUAUUAGGGAAGAACAUAUGUGUAAGUAACUGUGCACAUCUUGACGGUACCUAAUCAGAAAGCCACGGCUAACUACGUG
rnacentral:rRNA from 1 species